UACGAAGGGGGCUAGCGUUGUUCGGAAUUACUGGGCGUAAAGCGCACGUAGGCGGAUCGAUCAGUCAGGGGUGAAAUCCCAGAGCUCAACUCUGGAACUGCCUUUGAUACUGUCGGUCUAGAGUAUGGAAGAGGUGAGUGGAAUUCCGAGUGUAGAGGUGAAAUUCGUAGAUAUUCGGAGGAACACCAGUGGCGAAGGCGGCUCACUGGUCCAUUACUGACGCUGAGGUGCGAAAGCGUGGGAAGCAAACGGG
rnacentral:rRNA from 1 species